CCUACGGGUGGCAGCAGUGGGGAAUAUUGGACAAUGGGCGAAAGCCUGAUCCAGCCAUGCCGCGUGUGUGAAGAAGGCCUUCGGGUUGUAAAGCACUUUCAGUGGGGAAGAAAGCCUUGGGGCUAAUACCCUCGAGGAAGGACAUCACCCACAGAAGAAGCACCGGCUAACUCCGUGCCAGCAGCCGCGGUAAUACGGAGGGUGCGAGCGUUAAUCGGAAUUACUGGGCGUAAAGCGCGCGUAGGCGGUCUGUAUAAGCCGGUUGUGAAAGCCCCGGGCUCAACCUGGGAACGGCAUCCGGAACUGUCAGGCUAGAGUGCAGGAGAGGAAGGUAGAAUUCCCGGUGUAGCGGUGAAAUGCGUAGAGAUCGGGAGGAAUACCAGUGGCGAAGGCGGCCUUCUGGACUGAAACUGACGCUGAGGUGCGAAAGCGUGGGUAGCAAACAGGAUUAGAUACCCCAGUAGUC
rnacentral:rRNA from 1 species